AGAAAAAGAAAAAGAUGGAGAAAGUGGUAGCGGAAGGCUAUGCCGAAGGCUAUCGUGAUCCGUGUGCUGAAGGACAAAUUUCCCAGUGCCACAGGGGCGACGGCGACCUAAUCGUUCACAAAGAAGCGCUCCUCGCAUUCUCCACCUAAGGACAAAGAAUGCUGGAAAGGGUGCAGUAAAGAAUGAAGUAAGGAAUGCUACAAAGAAUGCAGGAAAGAGUGGGAAGAAUGCAGGAAAGAGUAGAAAGAAUGCAGUAAAGAAAGCGGGAACAUAAAAAACGAAAGAAGUGAAGAGGAAGAAGAAGACGAAGAGGAAGAAAUUGGAAGAGUCAUCGUCACGAAAGCAAGGCGAAAAGGAUGAAGAAAACCACGAUGAGGAUGGAAGUGGUGAUGGAUGAGUAAGCAAGCAAGGAAUAGACAUUUUCUGCUAGUUUCGGUGUUUCCUUUUUCUUUCUUAGCAUGUAGUUUGCUUCUGCAUCUAACAGCC
rnacentral:sRNA from 1 species